AACCAACAACACCCAUGUUGGUUUUUAUGUUACAUGAAUGUAAGUCUAAUGUGUAGCUUCUGUGAUAUAGAAUCAAGUUUUAUGGGUGAACACAUUCAAAUCAUGCAGCUUUAACAUAACAUGCAACAACUUAAAAUUUAAAGUGCUCAGUGAACAUAACAAAAUUAUGGAAAGUAUUUCCACCAAAGUAAAAUGCGUUAAAAUAGCCAGACACAAUUUUGCUGAGUGACCUAAACGUAAAUUUGUUGGGUCUGUUACAUUUACCCUUACAAAUCUAGUUGGCCUAAACCAUGGUAAUUGAGUAACAGAAAUGUAAAUUCAUCAUGAUGACCCAACAAAUUUACAUUUAGGUCUGCAUUUACCUUUUCAAAUCUAGUUGGCCUAAACCAUGGUAACUGGGCAACAGUAACACAAAUUUAUCAUGUUGACUGAAGAAAUUUACACUUGGGUCUACAUUUACGCUUUCAAAUCUAGUUGGCGUAAACCAUGGUAAUUGAGUAACAGUAAUGCAAAUUCAUCAUGUUGGCCCAACAAAUUUACACUUAGGUCACUCAGCAAAAUUGGUUUUGGCUAUAUUAACUUUACUUGGGUGGAAAUACUUUACAUAAUUGUUUUGAGCAAGUUAUUUUAUUUAUUUAUUUAUUUUUAGUGCAUCAACAUUGGCAGCUGGGUGCAAAUAGAGACAGAGCCAGAGUAGUAGUUGAGGCAGCAGCAGCACUUAUACAAGUUGAUAUUGUGGAAAAUAUAAAAGCAAGAGGAUGUUUGGGGUUUACAGCUUGCCACCCAGUUUGGAGUAAGGCCUCUGUACUACAAAGGAAGAGAAUGGUAAUAGAGGAAGUGCGCAGUUAAAAGCAGGCCACAAAGUGGGCUAAGGCGGUCUCCCUCGGGAAACAUGGAGAGUGGAUACAAUGGGAUAGUGUAGAAGGAAGGUACAGCAGCUGGAGGGAUGUGUGGGCCAUGAAAACAAGGAUUACCAAUAGAACUACCUACAAUGCCCUUCCUGCAUCAGUUGGUGGGUGAAGAGCCACUAUGUGCCCUCUGCCACAUGCCAGCCUCCCUCAAACACAUACUUAUAGAGUGUAAAGUUAGCCUCACCCAAGGAUGGUGUCACAAUCAGGUCCUAAAGAACCUCAUAUCCACCUUAGAAAAUAGGCAGCUGUAGCAAACUCUCCAAACUGGCAACAGUCAACCCUUUAGAGAAAAUGUCCUUUGACUGUAAAGGGGACUAUGGUUUGCAAGAGUAACGCCAGACCAUCAGAGUGAGACCAGCUACAUUUGGCCAGCAACUGGAAGAUGUUGGUCAAUACUGGCCAACAGUUUGUCUUCCCUUCCAAGUUACCACAACCCUAAGACCUGACCUGAUACUCUCGCCCCCAAUCACAGAAACAUCUUCAUCACUGAGCACACUUUACCCUGGGAGGACUCAGUUGAUGGGAGAAAACACCUAUCUUAUACUGAGUUGACCACUGAGGCAAAACAUCAUGGCUUGGGUGCUCAAGUUCACUCUGUAUAAGCGGGGUGCAGAGGCCUUGUGGCAAUAUCCACCACCGCGUUGCUCAGGAAUCUGGGAGUUUGUUGUCAGAGUUUGUAGGUAACCAUUAUAGCUCCAUCAGAUACAGAGAAGCAGCCUGUGGAUGAAAGAUCCCUGCUGGCUUCCAAAAGUAUCAGGCUAGGAUGGUGCAGGAAACUGGAAUCCGGUGUCAUGCCAUCUGGAAGCAUUGUCAAUGAAAAGCUGAAGAAGGAAGAUGCCCAUUUGAUAACCCCUUCUGUCACCCAGCCAAAACCAAUAACUUCAGUGUUAGUUUACCAUCAGCUCUAUUGUAAUGCUUGCACAAAAGAUUGAAUAACAUCUGUUCCUGUGUUUUGAAAUCUGAAGAUUCAUAAAUCCCACUUAAAACUUUAGAAAAAAUAAGCCUUAUGUUAAUCUUGUCCAGAAGUAACAUCAACUUCUCUGGAAUCUGAGACAUCUGGAUUGGACCAUCACACAGAUGGUGGUCAAAUGAAUCAGUAUUCUAGAUCUUUUUUGGACUAAGUGAAUACUGUGUGCUGUGGACCACAGACAAAAAGGGCAAUCCAAACUCUUGUCCGUAACAAGUCCAAAAGCCAGGGUCUGUCAUGGUAUGGUGCUGCAUCAAUACCUUUAGCAAAGGUAAUUUACACUUCUGUGAUGGCAGCAUUAAUGUAGAAAAGUACACAGAUUUCAGAGCAACAUAUACUGCCUUCAAGAUGACAUUUUUUUCAGAGACAUCCAUGCAUUCCUUAAGACAACACAAAACCACAUUCUGUAAACAUUACAAUGGUGUGGCUUUGGAAGCAGAGGGUACAGUUACUAGAAUGGCUUGCCUGCAGUCCUGACCUGUCCCCUGUAGGAAAUGUGUAGAGAAUUCUGAAAUGAAAAAUGUAACAAUGAUGACCUGUAUUGCUGCUGCACACCUUGUAUGUUGAAGGAUGGGACAAAAUAACACCUGACAGGUUUCAUCACUUGGUAUCCUCAAUGGCAAAAUGUCUUUUAAGUGUUGUGAUAAGGAAUAGCAACAUUACAAAGUAAUAAAUGCUUUAGCUUUCCAACUUCUUUCAGAAUGUCUUGCAGGCCUGAAAUGCAGGAAUGGAUGUAUAUUAAGAAAUGUAACUAAGUUGAUCAAAUAAAACAUGAAAUACAUAUCUUGGCUUCAUACCAUCGGUAAUGAAAUAGAAGUCUAAAUAAAUGUAAAAAUCACUGCAUGUUUUUUUCUUCAUUUUCCAUAUCAUCUCAACUUUUUGUGAUUUAGGGUUGUAAUUGAAGUACCAUGACAUGAAAGUCAAAAACUUGAUUCCUUUCCUUUACUUUUGCACUGUCAAUGGCAAAUUCACCAAUCUCAUGCUCCAUUGUCCCCUCGCUCGUAAACAAGACCCUCCUCUGCCCAAGUAUGCCUUGAUAUCCUGUCCAUGAAUAUCACAAACAAGAUUGAUGACAAGGCGCAGCCCUGGCGGAGGCCAACCCCCACCGGAAACAAGUCCAACAUACUACUAAGAACCCAAACACAGCUCUCCCUUUGUGUGUACAGAGACUGGAUGGCCCUGAGAAGGGACCUUCUCACUCCAUACUCACGCAGCACCUCCGACAGUAUCCCCCAGGGUACCCGAUCAUACGCCUUCUCCAAGUCCACAAAAUGCAUGCAAACUGGAUGGGUGUACUCCCAGGCAUCCUCCAGGAUCUUUGUGAGAGUGAAGAGCUGGUCGGUUGUUCCACGGCCAAGACGAAACCCGCAUUGUUCCUCUUCAAUCUGAGGUUUCGACUAUCAGCCGAACCCUCCUUUCCAUCAGCCUGGAGUAGACUUUACCAAGGAGGCUGAGUAGUGUGAUGCCCCUGUAAUUGGCACACACACUCUCUGGUCUCUUUUUUAAAACAUGGAAACCAACACCCCAGUUUGCCAUUCCUUUGUCAUUGUCCCAGACCUCCACACAAUGUUGAAGAGACAUCUCAUCCAAGACAGUCCCUCCACACCCAGAGCCUUUGUCAUUUCUCGAUGGAUCUCAUCAACCCCCGGGGAUUUGCCACUGUGAAGCUGUGUGACUACCUCAGUGACUUCCAGCAGAAAAAUUCAUGAUUAUCCCACAUCAGCUUCCAGCUCUGUCUCUACUACAGAGGGCGCUCUCAUCUGAUGCAGGAGUUCCUCAAAGUGCUCCUUCCAGCACUGGAUUACCUCCUUAGUUGAACUCAACAGAGUCCCAUCCUUACUGUAUACGGCCUAGAUGGUUCCCCGUUUUCUUCUCCUGAGUUGCCUCAUAGUGAUGACCAAAACAAAACAACAACAAUGAGGCAGCAUAUAGAGAUGAGGUGUAACAACUGGCAUCAUGGUGUGACAAUCAUAACCUGGUUUUGAACAUUAAGAAAACUAAAGAAAUAAUUGUGGAUUUUCGCAAAAAAGGUCAACGCACUUACUCUCCACUCUCCAUCGGCGGUGAAACUGUGGAAAGGGUCUCCAAAUUCAAAUUCCUAGGCGUGACGGUGACAGAGGAUCUGUCCUGGGACAGUAACACAGCUGCAGUUGUAGGAAAGGCCCAACAACGCCUCUUCUUUCUGAGGAAACUAAAAUGUGCCAAAAUUCCUCAGCAGCUAAUGAUUAACUUCUACAACUGUGCUAUCAGCAGUGUGCUAACCUACGGAUUCUUAGUGUGGUUCUCCAGCUGCACUAAGGCUGACCGGCAGGCUCUCCAGCGAGUGGUGAGGACAGCGGGGAAGAUCAUCGGGACUACCAUUCCAGAGAUCAGGACACUCUACACCAGCCGCUGCCUUAGACGAGUGUACAACAUCCUUCAGGACAGUUACCAUCCUGCACAUGACCUAUUCCACCUGUUACCUUCAGGGAGAAGAUACAGGUCCACACGUGCUAGAACCUCUAGAAUGGCCCGCAGUCUGUAUUCCCAGGCCGUGAGGCUGCUACACCUGCAGUCUCUCCCUUCCCUUCCUUCUCUGUCAUCACCCGCCAUCACUAAAUGUCACAUCCCACCAUUACAAUAACUGUGAAUUGGUUUUUGCAUUGCUGCAGCAGCCACUCGACACUCCCCAACAUCCCUGUUUACUGGGACCCCCCCCCCCCCCCCCCCCGUUAUAUAUAUGCACUUUACUCUGUUCUACUGUGCACUAAGAUGCUGAGCUGUCUCUCUGUGCCUUACUUAAUAAUGAAAGUUUACAAACAUAUUCAUACCCACGAAUAAGUUAUUAUGUCAUGAAUAAGCUACUAUGCUGUUGUUUGAGGCUCCAUCGAAAUUUCGUGUCAUUUAUAACUGUUAUUAUGGCAAUGACAAUAAAGUAUUGAAUUGAAAAGUCCUUUGGACACCACUGGGCUAAGGUAAGACUAAUACUAUAAUAAUUGGUCAUUUUAAAAAGGCUAUGUACAUUUAGUGAGUGUUUUGUGCAUCCAGGCACUUCUAAUGUUUUUCUCUGUUCAGUGGUGACAAGAAACAAUUUACUCUGCGUUCUUUGUGCCUCAUGCAAUAGCAUUAAUUAGUGUGUUAGCUUCUGCUUGCUGACAUGGUAUUUACAUCAUAAACAAAUAAGGUGCAAUUAAAUUUGAUUUUCUUCUUGUUGCAUGAAACAAACGUAUAUACUGUAUGUCUUUUUUCUCUUCAUGACAUUUUUGAACAGAUAAGACACAUUUUCAGGUGGAAUAUAUAUUCAGAAAAAUACUGUACAUGGUUAUUUGGAACGGUGGGGAUACACCAGUUGUCAGCCUGGCUGCUUGCCAUCUAGGACCCAAGGUGAUUCUAUAAUAUGGUGGAUGUGAGCACACAGUGCACCAUUACACGCUACGAGACCUGACCUGACCAUACUAUGUCCACCCAACUUCUUAUUGAAUCUGCUCCUCAUUAGCUAUGAUGGCAAAUAUUG